AAGCAAUACUUUUUCUUGUAAAUAAACGAAGAAAAACACUAAAAUCGCCAAGUAUUUGUGUUGCUUGACUGAAAUGUAGAAGUUUUGCAUACGCUAAUUAUAGAACUACAAUGUAAUUUCAUCUCGGCAAGCGGGACGAAAUACUCCAUAUGAACGCACGGAAAUAUUCGUCUCGGUAAGCGAGACGUCCCGGUAAGCGGGAUCAUAUGAACAGGCCCUAAGAUGGCAAGUAUCUUGCCCAUCAUUUUGAAUUUUCUGUACAAUGCAAUCAUAAAACUGGCUGUGAAAUUUCAUUGCAUAAACACAUUAAUUAUUCUUGCUCGUCGUACUCAUCGGUUUUAAACAGGGCG
rnacentral:lncRNA from 1 species